UCUGGCAUCCCUUGAGGUUGACGAGUUCGACAUUGACGAGUUCGCCAUUGAUGAGAGAUUGAAGCCUCAAGGAAAUCGACUACUUUCAAAUUAGGGCUGGUUUAUUCAGGGCUGGUUUCAAGAGCGACUCGUUUGCUUGGAAGAAGAAGGAAGAAGAAGGAAGAAUUCCGUUGAAUUUCUGAAUGGACUGGUGUGUUCCU
rnacentral:lncRNA from 1 species